rnacentral:ncRNA from 1 species
AAUGGAGAAGCGAUUCUCAAAGAGCAGGUCAAGUCCUAACCCUUCCCUUCAAGAAUGAAGUUCGGAUCUGACUCCAAAAGAAAGAGACUUGAAACAAAGGUCUUAAUUGAAAGGAGAGAACUAAUUAAGGUAGUCCUCAUUGGUUUAAUUUAAAAGGCUUGACUGAUAAGGGGAGAGUUCUUAUCCUUUAAUUUGAAGGAGUGAAACUUAAAAUGGAACUCAAAGACUGUGUUCGAAGAAUAUUGAGAAGCGACCAUCAGAAACAUGAGUUGGCCAUAGUGAUCCAGGAGUUCUGUGUGGAAGGGCUCUAGCCCAAUGGAUCAAAGGUACGUCGAGGAUAAUAGGCUGAUGACUUCUAAGAGCUCUUAUUGAUUGAGUCAUUUGGCACAUUGAUGUUGACUCAUCACAUCUUAGGGUUGAAGAAGGUCUCAAGGGUUCAGUUGUUCGCCGAUAAAAGUGGUACAUGAGUUGGAUUUAGAACGUUGUGAGAUAGUUCAAUUCCUAUCUACCAUUGGUGUGAAAGGGAGGUUCCUAUCUACCAUUGGUAUGAAAGGGAGAUCUACGAGGAGCCAACCCUAGUACGAGAGGAUUGGGUUGGGCCAACUUAUGGUGUACCGAUUAUUAUGCCAAUAGCAACAUCGGUCAGCUAAGUUGGUAUGGAAGAACCUCUACGCUAUCGAAAAUUCUUCUUUAUACAAGUUCUCAGAUGAGGUUUUUGAACAUCAUUUCGAUAGGCGAGAGGUGUAAGCACCGUGAGGUGUUUAGUGAUCUCGUACUAAACGAAAGG